rnacentral:rRNA from 1 species
UACGUAGGGCGCAAGCGUUGUCCGGAAUUAUUGGGCGUAAAGAGCUCGUAGGCGGUUUGUCGCGUCUGCUGUGAAAACCUAAGGCUCAACCUUGGGCUUGCAGUGGGUACGGGCAGACUAGAGUGCGGUAGGGGUGACUGGAAUUCCUGGUGUAGCGGUGGAAUGCGCAGAUAUCAGGAGGAACACCGAUGGCGAAGGCAGGUCACUGGGCCGCAACUGACGCUGAGGAGCGAAAGCAUGGGGAGCGAACAGA